rnacentral:rRNA from 1 species
CAAUAGCGUAUAUUAAAGUUGUUGCAGUUAAAAAGCUCGUAGUUGAAUUUUUGCUUGCCGCCGAUGUCGGAACUUCCGUACGUUCGGCGGCGUGCAUCCUUGGGUGGAACCUGUGUGGCAUUAGGUUGUCGUGCAGGGGAUGCUCAUCGUUUACUGUGAAAAAAUUAGAGUGUUCAAAGCAGGCUUACGCCGUUGAAUAUAUUAGCAUGGAAUAAUAAGAUAGGACCUUGGUACUAUUUUGUUGGUUUGCGCACCGAGGUAAUGAUUAACAGGGACAGUUGGGGGUAUUCGUAUUCCAUUGUCAGAGGUGAAAUUCUUGGAUUUCUGGAAGACGAACUACUGCGAAAGCAUUUACCAAGGAUGUUUNCAUUG